GCACGCCGCGUGAGUGAUGAAGGCUUUCGGGUCGUAAAGCUCUGUCGAGGGGAAAGAAGGGUAUUGUGGCUAAUAUCCACGAUACUUGACGGUACCCCUAAAGGAAGCACCGGCUAACUCCGUGCCAGCAGCCGCGGUAAUACGGGGGGUGCAAGCGUUGUUCGGAAUUAUUGGGCGUAAAGCGCGUGUAGGCGGUUUGAUUAUUCUGAUGUGAAAGCCCUGGGCUCAACCCAGGAAGUGCAUUGGAAACUGUCAGACUUGAAUACGGGAGAGGGUAGUGGAAUUCCUAGUGUAGGAGUGAAAUCCGUAGAUAUUAGGAGGAACACCGGUGGCGAAGGCGGCUACCUGGACCGAUAUUGACGCUGAGACGCGAAAGCGUGGGUAGCAAACAGGAUUAKAUACCCUGGUAGUCCACGCCGUACACKAUGAGUACUAGGUGUUGCGGGUAUUGACCCCUGCACUGCCGCKSCUAACGCAUUAAGUACUCC
rnacentral:rRNA from 1 species